UUUUUUUUUUUUUUCGCAAAACGGUUUUCUUUAUUUAUUAAUUUUUAUUAUGCUGUGCACAAGCAAGCUCCUCCGGCAGCUCUGAUCUUCUGCUCUGCAAGCUUGGAAAAGUAUUUUGCCUUGACAAUUACAGGAACGUUAAUUUGUCCGUUUCCGAGCAAUUUGAAAUAUCCUAAGUUUACAAG
rnacentral:ribozyme from 11 species